ensembl:snRNA U6 U6 spliceosomal RNA
GUGCUCACUUAGUAUAUAUACUAAAAUUGCAAUGAUAUAGAGAGGAUUAGCAUGGUCCCUGCACCAGGAUGACACGCAAAUUCGAGAAGCACUCUAUAUUUUU